rnacentral:sRNA from 1 species
AGCUGUUGAUGCACGAAUCACACAAGUACGAAAAUGGGAUCUCUAGGGAAGGAAGAAGAAUCUUUCUAUUAAUGACGAGCCCGCGACUUAGGCGAAUUGGACGGAUUACAAAGGAUGAUUUCUUCAACAAGCAUAAAUAGAGUAAGAACGAGCCGAUUGUAGAUGAAAGACGAGCUUGAGGCCGGAAGACGAUCUUGAUAUCCGAGGAAGAAUAGAGUUUAUUCGUUUUAUAGCUGAACCUUGUAAAAGGCUGCCUACGUACCCUUAGAAAGGGAUCAAGCCACACGUAGUUCAUAUCGCGAUAAACGAGCUAGGCCAUUACUGGAGGAAGGUCGUAUGUCGAGUUAGGCAGUUUUAGGGAUGAUCCGGCGGAUAAGUGACGAGUUGAAUAGCUUCUUGAGACGUGCGAGUAGGUUAGUUACUUUGGGCGGGCAAGUCGGCGAGACACUUCGGACGGACGAGUAAACGAGCUACUCAAGAUAGAUGGGCAAACGAGGUACUUCGGACGGGUGAGCUGACGAGCUGCUUGAGACGGGCGAUCUGAUA